GAUCUUUUCUGAGAGAAGGGACUGAUAAAAAAAAGUUUUGUAUGUGGCUUUAUCGGUCGCUCCGAAUGUUGUGAAACGGGCGAGAUGAAAAUCUUUCAAACAUGAUGUAACCAUUAAAAUAAAAGCAUGACUUGCGGUAUUAAAUCGGUAAAAUAAAAUUUUUUGGUGUCAUGAUAGAUUUGGAUAGUAUAACUGUCUUUCAAAUUAAGGAAUACCUAGUGGAAUUUUCCGAAAGAAGCUAUGGGCAAUUUUCACUGCUGCGCUCAAAAGAAGAAAAAGAACUGGAGAGGAAGAUCCUUCAAUAUUGAGAUCAGUUUUAGUGAGCGUUAUCAGUCAGGAGCAAUGUCAAUCUAUCUACAACAACAGUUUUCAUAUUACUGAUAAACAUAUUUGUGCUCGCCAUGAUUUAAAAUAUAGUUCCGGUGAUCAUGGUAAUUCUUUAGUCGUCCAGAAUCAUCUGGCUGGCCUUUUUCUUUGGAGAGGUUCUUCUGGUCCUGAUGUGUUUGUUAAGUUAUCUGGUCGUAUGGAUUACAGAAAUUGGAUCAAUCUAAACAUGGAACGCUAUAUAUGAAGACAAAUGUUUGUGACUGAGCUAAAACAUGGCCUAUAAGCACGAUCUGUAAAGUAUUCUUAUUUUCAUUCAAUAUUAUCCUCGUCAGAAAAUUUGUGUGUUUAUUGGUAGUCCUAAGUUCUGAGAGAUGGCAUUGUUAUCCUUAAAUUCAAUGAUCCAGCUGGAUCCAGCUGCGAGAUUUCAGGUCAGGAAUAAUACCAGAGUUAUUAUCGAUAAGAGCGAUUUUCUUGAAACUGAAGGAA